rnacentral:lncRNA from 1 species
AUUGUAAUGCCAUUUAAACCUAUGGAAAAGGAUCGAUAAACAGGGCGUUCGCAGCGAACACCUUGAUAAUCGAUUUUUUACCAUAGGUUUAAAUGGCAUAACAAUCGAUAUAUCGCAAAGCACGCCACGACACUGGUCAAAAUCGAUAAAUUAAUGUGGCGUUAACGAGUAUUAACGUGCGCUCUGAUAUCCCUAAAAACUCAGUAUGCACCUUCAGGCGUUGCCAAAUUUCCGAUCCGAAAAUAUUUAUUUUCGAAGAAAUUUAUGAAUAUUUUUCCUAGAAAUUUGUAGACGUUUUUGAUCAAAUUACGAACAAAAUCCUACGUAAAAUCGGAAGAAAAAUAUUUACAAUAUUUCCCGAAAUGUUGCGAUUUAUCUGAGGAAAUUUGGCAACGUCUGACGGCUUAUACGGCGUUCUUUCUGAGCGCGGCAGCACAGGUACUCUGCAUUUACGGAAUUAUUUUUCACUGAGCUGAGUCGGAAUAUCGAAUGGUCCUAAUGAUGCAUGGUUUAACUGAUAGUCGCCUAAUAAAGCGCGCUAAUUGAAUUAAUCUCCGAAUUAAUUUUGCAGCCAGUAUCGAAUUAGCAGGUGGCGGUAUCGCAGUCUGUCCAAAGAGCAGUGACCGCGCUCUAUUGGAAAAUUCUGCCGCCGAGAAUUCAUCCCGAGCGCGUGUGCAAAAUGAGUGCAUGUCGCCAGCUGCUAAUCGGUAUGUAUAGCCAUAAUAUUUAUGCUUGCAUUCCCAAAACGAUGAGAAAAUCCAUAAAAGCUGUCUGUUCAUUUAAUUUAAAAACUGUGGUCCUAUCCCUAAAUGUGGAAACUACGCUUGCAACUAUUCGAACUCUGGAGUUGGUAUGUGGUAUCACGCGAAAAUGAAGGCAGAUCUUAGCUUUUGCCUGUCUUAGAUUACGGACGCUUAUGAAUGCCGCGAUACUCAGAUUAAAAACACGUACUCUUUUGUGUUUUUAUUAAACCGCUGGGCAAAAUUGCGCAUUUGCCGCGAUAUUAAGAUGAGAAUAGCUUUUAUGAUUUUACAAAACCGCUGGAACAAACGUGUAUUUUGCGCCAUAUUCAGAUGAAAAACACGUAACUCAGUGGCGUGGCGUGAAUUGCGAUAUAUCGAUUGUUAUGUCAUUUAAAUCUAUGGAAAAGGGUCGAUAAACAGGGCGUUCGCAGCGAACUCCUUAAUAAUCGAUUCUUUUUCAUAGGUUUAAAUGGCAGAACAAUCGAUACAUCGCAAUUCACGCCACGCCACUGCUGGGAAAACCCAGAGUCAACCGAGGGUUCGGUUAUUUUGUGUUUUACUUGCCGUGUUGAAUUGACCAAAC